GGACUUAGUAAAUUGCAGGAUGUGAUUCUAAUUGGUUGGAACAUCUUUUGAAAUCGUGUUCUGUAGAGAAAGAAAAACUACUAUAUUUGGAUAGCCCUGGCCAGCUUUCAAGGCUUCUAAAUCUCAGGCUUCAGUGAAGUGGACAGAAAAAAAAUAUGAAGAAGCUACUAGCAGUGAUUCUGUGGCUUCAACUAGACCGGCUACGUGGAGAGCUGAAAGUGGGACAAAGUCCUCUGUUCCUGAGCACGCAGGAGGGAAAAAACUGUACUAUCUACUGCAAUUAUUCAACCACAGCUUCAGAUAGACUGCACUGGUACAGGCAGGAUCCUGGGAAAAGCCUGGAAUCUCUGUUUGUGUUGCUGGCAAAUGGAGCAGUGAUCCAGGAGGGACAAUUAACGGCCUCACUUGAUACCAAAGCCCGUCUCAGCACCCUGCACAUCACAGCCCCCGUGCAUGGCCUCUCUGCCACCUACUUCUGUGCCGUGGACACACAGUGCUCGCCUAACAUCAUCAGUCUGUACCCAAACCUGCAACUGAUGCCCCAGGCCUACUCCUGCUGAAGAACUAUGGCUGCGACGCUUGUUCACUGUCUCUGCAUUUCUUUCUGCAAGGGAAAUUCUGAAAUAGGUGAAAAAAAGAUGUUUUAUUUUCUUAACUGUGGAAUUUUUCCCCCCAGUUAAUUUUUUAUUUUUUGUAGAGACAGGGUCUCGCUCUGUGGCCCGGGCUGGUCCCA